AAUGAAGCUAAGGGAAGGGAGAGAGCGUGUAAAUAAAAAAUAAAAAAAGAGGAGACCAAGUCCACUUCCUCUGCUUGGGGAGAGGCUUCUCUUUAGGCCCAGAGCCCUGACUCCUGGUUCCUGUGGUUCCUGGUCCCUCCUGGCACUCCUGACCUAUAGCCCAUAGAACAGAGGCUUGGAGACAGACCCGGGGUUGAAUCCUGGCCCUGCCACAUGUGACCUGUGUGAACUUGGACAAGUCACUUCACCUCUCUAGCCUGAGAGUCAUCAGCUCUUUGCUAGGGUGGCACGUGUGGUGCCCUUACAACAUGGUAUGUGGUCACUGAGGAUGGCCACCAUUCCUCUCUUACCUCCUUCUCAGAUGCGGUCAUUGCCACCCCUCUUUCCUGUCCUGGGAGAGGCCAUGUCGUAAGCAUCACCACUGCUCAGGAGGGAGGGUUGAAGACAGCAUCCCGAGGACCAAGGAUGGGGUAAAACUGAGAGAAGAGCAGUGGGAGCCAGAUUCGGGCCUUACUCGCCCUUUUUCCUGCACUCAGAGCCUCAGUCUCCUUACUCAUGAAUGGAACCUGUUUAACAGGCUCCCCAUGAGCCUCAGACUGGGAGUGUGUUGGUCUGUUUCGUGGCUCUGGAAGAGAAAACCAGAGACUGUGUGAUUUAUAAAGAGCAGAAGUGUGUUAGCUCAGUCUAGAGACCAGGAAGUCCAAUGUCAGGGUGCUGGAAGGUUUAGAGUUCUCAUUCCCAGAUGGGGCCUGGCAUGCUGUGUGCCCUGGGGGGAGGGACACUUAGUCCUCUGCCCAGUGAAGGCAGAAGAGAGAAAAGGGGGCUGAGCUGACCCUUUUAUAAUGGCAUCAUUCCCACCCAGGAGGGCAGAGCACUCAACCUAAUCACCUCCCACCUCUGAAUACUGAUAGAUUGGCAAUUAAAUUUCAACGUGAGUUUUGCAGGGAAUAAAUAUUCAAACCAUAGCAAAGUGUAACCGGAUCAGCCACUUGGCCUUCUGGUAAAUGUCAGCAAAUGACACUCCUAAGUACCCCAGGGCUGCCAGGUCACCCGAAUUGACUGUGAGUCCACCCUGGCUGUCUCUUCGACCGUGACAUCUCCCCUCUCUGGACUUGGGCCCUGGGUAGCUGGGGCCUCUGUAGCUCCCCUGGACAAAGAGACUUAGGACAGACAGCCUUCAAAUUGUCCCUCUUUUAUAAGCCAGUGUGUCUCUGUCUUUCCACUGAAGCAGGUGCCAGAGGACACAGCAUUCUGAACACAAUGCAGAUCUCUUGAAGAGAAUUUCCUUGGCCACACCCUGUUUUAAAAAUAAACCAAGACGUAGCUUCAGGGCCCCAGUCAGUUGGUCAUGAAGACAUCAUUUCCAUGAUUUCAUUUCUGAUUCACGGAUGGAACUUGCUUGUCAGUGUUGUGCAGACUGUGGUUGACUAUGAGUAACUGAAUCCAUGGACAAUGGGGACUGUUACAUCUGGACAGAGAUGAGGCCAUUUGGUGCUCACAGUGAGCUUUGAGAAGGACUUACUCUUUGAAGCCAUGAAUUGCCUCACACCAACUCCCAGGAGAAUCUUCCAGGAGCAUCUGUUCCUUGCAGGCUUCAUUCCAUAACCUGAAAGAAAACCAGGGACAUGUACUCAAUGCUGGAAGACCAAAGUGACUGUUCUGUGAUCUCAGCCCACCCGUGGUCAGAUAAAGACAAAGAUUUGCGACUAGAAGCAAAUACGCUAAAUUCUAAGGUUUUUACCAGUGAGAAGUAGCCCUCAAGUUUGUUCCAGAUAUGAUGGCAACAUAUCUGCUUCCAGAAAUGAAAUCAAUCAUGACGUUUUUAGGGAUUAAUUAGAAUCAAAUUGGUAGAGAACAUGGAAUAAUAACCUUUGAUAAAAUGCCGCGGGACAUUGAAAUGGGAGCCAUAGGAACCGGGAGGGACAGGUACCUAGUAGUGCAUUUGCACAAUCUUAGAUUCUCCCUGGAGUAUGUUUUACCUUUGCCAUAAAUGAAAACAUUUAAAUUUCUUUAAAAUUACAUUUAACUUAAUUAUACCCGGGCCCUGAUACCGGUAA